rnacentral:rRNA from 1 species
UGGGAAUCUUGGACAAUGGGGGAAACCCUGAUCCAGCCAUCCCGCGUGAAUGAUGAAGGCCUUCGGGUUGUAAAACUCUUUCGACGGGGACGAUAAUGACGGUACCCGUAGAAGAAGCUCCGGCUAACUUCGUGCCAGCAGCCGCGGUAAUACGAAGGGGGCUAGCGUUGUUCGGAAUUACUGGGCGUAAAGCGCGCGCAGGCGGUCUUCCAAGUCAGUGGUGAAAGCCCGGAGCUCAACUCCGGAACUGCUAUUGAAACUGUGAGACUUGAGUACGAGAGAGGUGAGUGGAAUUCCCAGUGUAGAGGUGAAAUUCGUAGAUAUUGGGAAGAACACCGGUGGCGAAGGCGGCUCACUGGCUCGUAACUGACGCUCAGGCGCGACAGCGUGGGGAUCAAACA